CCUACGGGUGGCAGCAGUGAGGAAUAUUGGUCAAUGGGCGAGAUCCUGAACCAGCCAAGCCGCGUGAGGGAAGACGGCCCUAUGGGUUGUAAACCUCUUUUGUCGGAGAACAAAACCCGGGACGUGUCCCGGACUGCGUGUCUCCGAAGAAAAAGCAUCGGCUAACUCCGUGCCAGCAGCCGCGGUAAUACGGAGGAUGCGAGCGUUAUCCGGAUUUAUUGGGUUUAAAGGGUGCGUAGGCGGUCCGUUAAGUUAGCGGUAAAAUAGCGGGGCUCAAACCCGUCGAGCCGUUGAGACUGGCGGACUUGAGUUGACGAGAAGUACGCGGAAUGCGCGGGGUAGCGGUGAAAUGCAUAGAUAUCACGCAGAACACCGAUUGCGAAGGCAGCGUACCGGCGCCAGACUGACGCUGAGGCACGAAAGCGUGGGGAGCGAACAGGAUUAGAUACCCUAGUAGUC
rnacentral:rRNA from 1 species